rnacentral:lncRNA from 1 species
GGUCUCCAAGCAGAAAAGUCUCAGAAACUUCCUUAAGACACAUGUGGCUGAUGAAGAAUGGGUUCUUAAUAAUUCCCUUUGGGACCAUGAUGAACUUUAGGUGGCUCCCAUUUGAUGCUUUUUCUACAGGGUCUUCAGGGAAUUUAGACUGCCAAGAAACUAAGAGUCUUGUACAAAGCAUAUGCAUAACAUCAAUGGGCUUAGUGAGUAUUUGUGGAUAAUGAGGUUGAUGACAAAUUAUCACUUAUUUGUUAUGUCUCAGAGUGGUUAACAUGUACUGGAAUGUUACUUGUUAAAAAUGUUUUCCUCCUACGCUUUGGUUUUUAACACCCCUUGAUGAUUCCUUUCAUAGAAAUUGAUGUAAGAAAUUGUCAUCCUGUUCAUUACCUCCGAACCAGCAAUUACAAAGUGUUUGUAGAGCUUCAGUGAAUUCUCUUUAAGCCUCUGUUAAACUGGAUUUUCAGCAUUUAUGUAAUUAUAAAUGAUAUUUGUGCAAAUGAAAACUUUGCAAAUGUAGUUUUAAAAAGACUUAACAGAUAUUUGCACAAACUCAAAUUUUUACAAAUGUAGCUUUAAAAUGACAUCUCCAGUAUUUCUCCUAAAGGAAGAAUUAACUUUGCUGGGGAACACAACUUGAAUGGCCAAUUUGUGUGAAUAGUUGGAACCCAGGGUCAAAGAGGAGAGGGUACUAGGGGAAGAUAGGCUAUAUUCCUCUGCACAAGAAAAUGGUCUGAGAUGUUUAGGCAUAGAUAUGCCUAAUAUUUACAUUUAAGUUUUAUGGAUAACUAGAAGUACAAACCAUUUAUUUUCUUAUGAAGUCCCCAUGUAAUGGAGAUGAAGAGAGCAUAUAGUAUUAUCACAGUACUAUAUAAGUAGGAUUUGUUAGACUUUAACUACACAUAUGCCCUUUAUGAUUGUAAUUAUUUGAACACAUUUCUUGUGAGCUUGGAAAUUGUCUUCCUAGUUUCCAAAAGGAAAGUCACCAUUUUGUGCACUUGUGCUCUGAAUUAAUUCAAUGAUACCUUUGUUUGAUGGCAGAAUACCAUAGAUAACAGCUUGUCAUUGCCUUUCCCACUCCUUUCCAGCAGUGGCUGUGACAACAUGGCACCAAAGCUACUGUGCUAAUUCUCCUUUGCCAUUUUCCCAUAAAUAAAGACAACGAACUCCUCUGUAAAUUGUGCCAUCAUUGUUGAUAUUCUUUAGAACAGAGACAGUAUUGAAUAAAGCUUAAAAAUUUUGCUGAUUAAAUUUCAGGCCCCUCUAUAGGAAUAAAAAUAAGUCCACAGGUUAAAGAUUAGGAGAAACCAUGCUGUAUUCCAGUACUGAUCAAAUUUUUUUGUAUUGAUCAAAAUAUUUGUCAAAGUGCUUUUAUUUAUUGGAGGGAAUAGAGAGGAGGUUUUGUCUCUACAUUGACUCUGGGUUUAGUCCUUAUGUAUAUUUUCAGUGUAAUAGCUUUGUUACAUGCAUUCUACCUUGUAAAUCACCUCCUAAAUAACCAAACUCUCUGAGUCACUGUGUCACGGCCAAUAGCGUGAUCAUCAUCAUGUCUAUCAUAAUUCUUGUUGAUUGCAGGUUUCUGAAUUCCUAUUCUCUUGUAUAUUCCUUUAUGAUUCAAACUUUCUAUUUUUAGCCUCCAAUCCUUAUCCUGAGUUUAAGCAAUUAAAUAUUAUGAUGUGUCAGAAGUGGAAUAAAACUAAAACUGUUCAUUAUAUUGAAGUAUCACAACAAUUAUUUCUUUUGUGAUGCAAGGGAAGUUACUGGGAAGUGAAGUGCACAGGAACUUAUUAGAACUUCAGUGUUUCUGAACAAACUUUGUGAGCAUAAGUUUAGAAAGCUGAAAUGAUUUUUGUGAGCCAGUUUGUGUGUGUGUGUUUGUUAUUAUUAUUUUUUUGAGGGAAGCAGAAAGAAAAAAUAAUAAUUUUCAAAUAACUAACCUGCAGGCUGCAAUGGGCUUGACAAGGAAUCACGCACACCAGUUCCUUUGCUAAGCAGGCUGGUGGUGGCUACAGGGCCGGUUAUAAUGAGUUCUACAUAAUGAGUUCUACUAAAAACAGGUUCUUAACCUCUUCACUGUGACAUAAAAACAGCACCAAUAUUCCCAGAUUCCCACAUACACACACACACACACACACACACACACACACACACACACACUAAUUACUCUGUGUAUGAAUAUUUUACUUUCAAAACUAUCAUAAUAAUAGGAAGAAGACACCAAAUUAGCCAAUAUAGAAAGUGUUAUUUUCUGGAUUUUGUUUUUGUAUACAUGUGAAAAAAAUUAAAUCAAAUAUAAAAAUGACCACCACAACAAAAUUUCUUCCAAGUUUUCAGGUGGUUUUGUAUAUGCCUUGAUACCUGAUUGUAUUCUCCUGCUUUGCACAGGUUUCCCUCUGAGGGAUAUGCUACUCUAAAUGUUUUCUCUUCUUUCUGAGGUAGGCUCAGACAUUCUGGGACAUUUUGUCUUUAAUUUUUUCAUUCCUUUAUGGAUUUAUUCGACACACACAUAUCACUGAGCCCACAACUUAUCUGGUACUGUAUUAAGCUCUGGAGAAAGAGAGAGAGAAAAAAAACCUAGUCUUUGUCAUCAAGGGGCUCACAAUCUAGUGGAGGAAACAUGCACAGAUACGUGUAAUUCAGAUAGUAACAGGAAUAAUAUGUAUAUAUAGAGUAUAUUAUGAAAUAACAAAGAAAAGUCAUUUCUUGAAAAGCUGAAGAAAAUCUUCUAGCAGGUUUCUGAAUUCUCAGUCUCUUGUAUAUUCCUUUAUGAUUCAAACUUUCUAUUUUUAGCCUCCAAUCCUUACCCUGAGUUUAAGCAAUUAAACAUUAUAAUAUGUCAGAAGUGGAAUAAAACUAAAAAUGUUAAUUAUAUUAAAGUAUCACAAAAAUUAUUUCUUUUGUGAUGCAAGGGAAGUAAUUGGGAGGUGAAGUGGUAGGUGAAUUGGUAGGUGACAUUAGAAUUUAGCUUUCAAGUGUGAAUAUGGAUUAGAUGGGUAAGGAAGUGAGUCCUUGCCUAGUGAGCAGCAUGGACAAUGACACUGAGGUGGUAAACAUCACAGGUGCAAGAAGAAAUUAUAGGCAAUACACUAGAGCACAGAGAAGGAAGAACCAUGGAGUGUGAAGAAGGAAAGCUGAAGAUGUAGACUGGGCCCAGAUCUGGAGAGCCUACUGACCUAUAAAGAGAUUGACUUGAUUCUCCAGCUGAGGUAAAUUGCUCAUGUAUUUUGUUUCUCAAUUUCCUCUCCACAUAGUCUGAGUUAUUUCACAGGUAUUUUUUCAAUUCAUGAUACAAAUCACUUCUGGAUCAUCAAAUAUGCUUUAGUCCUAAACUGAAAAUAAUAAUUUUUUGUUCUCAGGUUGAAGUAGAUAUCUUCCUUCCAACCAUUAGGUUUGGAAAAGUGAGUUGAGGAAAUUAUUUUCAUUAUUAUUAUUUUGUAUUUUCAAUUGAAAAGUAACAAUUGUAUAUUUUAUGGAGUACAACAUGACAUUUUGAUAUAUGUAUACACUGUGAAAUGAUUCUAUCAAGGUAUUUAACAUAUCCAUCAUCUCGCAUUUCUAUCAUUUCUUAUGGUGAAACAUUUAAAUCUACUCUUCUGGCAAUUUUAAAGUAUGCAAUACAUUAUGAUUAACUACAGUCACUCUGCUGUGCAAUAGAUUUCAAACACUUCUCCUCCCACCUAACUGAAACAUUUCCCUCUUUGACAAACAUCUCUCCUUUUCAACCUCUACCACCCCCAGUCUCUGGUAAUCACUAUUCUAUUCUCUAUUUCUGAGUUCAACUUUUCAGAUUCCACAUAUAAGUGAAGUCAUGGGUAUUUGUCUUUCUGUGCCUGGCUUAUUUCACUUAGCAUAAUAUCCUCUAGGUUCAUCCAUGUUGUCACAAAUGACAGAAUUUCCUUCUUAAGAUUGCAUAGUAUUCCACUGGGUAUAGAUACUACAUUUUCUUUAUCCAUUCAUCUGUUGAUGGAUAGAUGCUUAAGUUGAUUCCACAUUAGCUACUUUGAAUAAUGCUGCAAUGAAGAUAGGAGUGCAAAUAUCUCUUCAACUUUCCAAUUUCAAUUAUUUUAGGCAUAUAACCAAAAGUUAGAUGAAUGAAUCCUAUGUUAAUUCUAUUUUUAUUCUUUGGGAACAUCUAUACUGUUUUCUAUAAUGUGUGUACUAAUUUACAUUCCCACCAACAGUGUAUGAAUGUUCUCUUUUCUCCUUGCCCUUGUUAACACUUGUCUUUCAUCUUUUUGAUAACAGUCAUUCUAAUUGGGGUGAGAUGAUAUCUCAAUGUGAUUGUGACUUGCAUUUUCCUGAUGAUUAAUGAUGUUGGGCAUUUUUUAUAAACAUAUUAGCCAUUUGUAUGUCUUCUUUUGAGAAAUGUCUAUUUAGGCUAAUUGACCAUUUUUAAAUCGUGUGAUUUGUUUCCUUGCUAUUGAGUUGUUUCAAUUACUUAUAUAUUUUGGAUAUUAACCGCUUAUCAGAUAUAUGGUUUACAAACAUCUUAUCCCAACCUAUGGGUUGUCUCUUCAUUCUGUUGAUUAUUUCCUUGGUUGUACAGAAGUUUUUUUAGUUUGAUUCAAUGUCAUUUGUCUAUUCUUGCUUUGUCUGUGCUUUUGAAAUCAUAUCCAAGACAUCAUUGCUGAAACUAAUUUUAUGGAGUUUGCCCCCAAUGUUUCUAGUAAUUUUACAGUUUCAGGUCUUUCAUUUAAGUAUUUAAUACAUUUUUAGUUGAUUUUGGUACAUGGUGUGAGACAAAGGUCUAAUUUCAUUUUGUUGCAUGUGAACAUCCAGUUUUUUCAACAUCAUUUAUUAAAGAGACUCUUUCCCCAUUGUGUGAUCUUGGCACCUUUGUCAAAAAUCAAUUGGUCAUAAAUGCAAUGGAUUUAUUUCUGAGCUCUCUAUCUAGGUUCAUUGGUCAAUGUGUUUGUUUUUAUGCCAGUAUCAUGCUGCUUUGGUCACUACAGCUUUGCAGUAUAUUUUGAAAUCAGAUAAUGUAAUGCUUUCAGCUUUGCACUUCUUAAGAUUGCCUUGGUUACUUUGAUUAUUUUGUGGCUUCAUACAAACUUUAGAAUUUUUUUUCUAUUGUGAUAAAUGACAUUGGAUUUUGAUAGGAUUGCUUUAAAUCUAUAGGUCAUUUUGGAUAGUAUAAACACUUUAACAAUAUUAUUUCAAUCCAUGA